rnacentral:rRNA from 1 species
GAUGAACGCUGGCGGCGUGCCUAAUACAUGCAAGUCGAGCGAACGGACGAGAAGCUUGCUUCUCUGAUGUUAGCGGCGGACGGGUGAGUAACACGUGGAUAACCUACCUAUAAGACUGGGAUAACUUCGGGAAACCGGAGCUAAUACCGGAUAAUAUUUUGAACCGCAUGGUUCAAAAGUGAAAGACGGUCUUGCUGUCACUUAUAGAUGGAUCCGCGCUGCAUUAGCUAGUUGGUAAGGUAACGGCUUACCAAGGCAACGAUGCAUAGCCGACCUGAGAGGGUGAUCGGCCACACUGGAACUGAGACACGGUCCAGACUCCUACGGGAGGCAGCAGUAGGGAAUCUUCCGCAAUGGGCGAAAGCCUGACGGAGCAACGCCGCGUGAGUGAUGAAGGUCUUCGGAUCGUAAAACUCUGUUAUUAGGGAAGAACAUAUGUGUAAGUAACUGUGCACAUCUUGACGGUACCUAAUCAGAGAGCCACGGCUAACUACGUGCCAGCAGCCGCGGUAAUACGUAGGUGGCAAGCGUUAUCCGGAAUUAUUGGGCGUAAAGCGCGCGUAGGCGGUUUUUUAAGUCUGAUGUGAAAGCCCACGGCUCAACCGUGGAGGGUCAUUGGAAACUGGAAAACUUGAGUGCAGAAGAGGAAAGUGGAAUUCCAUGUGUAGCGGUGAAAUGCGCAGAGAUAUGGAGGAACACCAGUGGCGAAGGCGACUUUCUGGUCUGUAACUGACGCUGAUGUGCGAAAGCGUGGGGAUCAAACAGGAUUAGAUACCCUGGUAGUCCACGCCGUAAACGAUGAGUGCUAAGUGUUAGGGGGUUUCCGCCCCUUAGUGCUGCAGCUAACGCAUUAAGCACUCCGCCUGGGGAGUACGACCGCAAGGUUGAAACUCAAAGGAAUUGACGGGGACCCGCACAAGCGGUGGAGCAUGUGGUUUAAUUCGAAGCAACGCGAAGAACCUUACCAAAUCUUGACAUCCUUUGACAACUCUAGAGAUAGAGCCUUCCCCUUCGGGGGACAAAGUGACAGGUGGUGCAUGGUUGUCGUCAGCUCGUGUCGUGAGAUGUUGGGUUAAGUCCCGCAACGAACGCAACCCUUAAGCUUAGUUGCCAUCAUUAAGUUGGGCACUCUAAGUUGACUGCCGGUGACAAACCGGAGGAAGGUGGGGAUGACGUCAAAUCAUCAUGCCCCUUAUGAUUUGGGCUACACACGUGCUACAAUGGACAAUACAAAGGGCAGCGAAACCGCGAGGUCAAGCAAAUCCCAUAAAGUUGUUCUCAGUUCGGAUUGUAGUCUGCAACUCGACUACAUGAAGCUGGAAUCGCUAGUAAUCGUAGAUCAGCAUGGUACGGUGAAUACGUUCCCGGGUCU